rnacentral:hammerhead_ribozyme from 1 species
CAACAGCUGACGAGUUCUAAAUAAGACGAAACGCGCGUCAAACUGG